GGGCGGAUGGCGGAACUGGUAGACGCAGCAGACUCAAAAUCUGCCGGUAGCAAUACCUUGCGAGUUCGAUUCUCGCUCUGCCCA
rnacentral:tRNA from 2 species